CGCCAGUUAAUAACGUCAUUCUUGUGAAUGCUUUUCAGUUCUUCUGCCUCUUUCUGUGAAAAGUUGAACAUAUACCUUUUAUCGAUAAUCUGAUUCCAGAGCCUAUUGGUUUCAUACUGGAGGGAAGGAUCUUUUUCCAGUAGCUUANUUAACCCACUUCUGUAGUUCUCAAAGGAUGCUUCAUCAAGUCCUUCCAACAACUCUUCAAG
rnacentral:misc_RNA from 1 species